GGGCGAAUGGUUUAGUGGUAUAAUACUCCCUUAGCAUGAUUCUUAUAGACAUCUGGGAGUGGUCCAGGGUUCGAUUCCCUGUUCGUCCA